CCUACGUGUGGCAGCAGUGAGGAAUAUUGGUCAAUGGGCGCGAGCCUGAACCAGCCAAGUAGCGUGAAGGAUGACUGCCCUACGGGUUGUAAACUUCUUUUAUAAAGGAAUAAAGUGAGGCACGUGUGCCUUUUUGUAUGUACUUUAUGAAUAAGGAUCGGCUAACUCCGUGCCAGCAGCCGCGGUAAUCCGGAGGAUCCGAGCGUUAUCCGGAUUUAUUGGGUUUAAAGGGAGCGUAGAUGGGUUGUUAAGUCAGUUGUGAAAGUUUGCGGCUCAACCGUAAAAUUGCAAUUGAUACUGGCAGUCUUGAGUACAGUUGAGGUAGGCGGAAUUCGUGGUGUAGCGGUGAAAUGCUUAGAUAUCACGAAGAACUCCGAUUGCGAAGGCAGCUUACUAAACUGUCACUGACAUUGAUGCUCGAAAGUGUGGGUAUCAAACAGGAGUAGAUACCCUGGUAGUC
rnacentral:rRNA from 1 species